UAAUAAGUGUUUUAUGGCACUUUUUAAAUCCAUAUCCACCUUGUGUGCAAUGUCAGUCGUUCCCAUAGAAGAGAACGACCAAACAUCAACCAACUCUUUAACUCUUUGUCUGAAAAAUAUUACGAAUAAAAUAAUUCAAAAUA
rnacentral:misc_RNA from 1 species